AUUGAACGCUGGCGGCAUGCCUAACACAUGCAAGUCGAACGGCAGCACGGGUGCUUGCACCUGGUGGCGAGUGGCGGACGGGUGAGGAAUACGUCGGAAUCUGCCCAGUCGUGGGGGAUAACUAGCCGAAAGGUUAGCUAAUACCGCAUACGACCGAGAGGUGAAAGCGGGGGACCGCAAGGCCUCGCGCGAUUGGAUGAGCCGACGUCGGAUUAGCUAGUUGGUGGGGUAAAGGCCCACCAAGGCGACGAUCCGUAGCUGGUCUGAGAGGAUGAUCAGCCACACUGGAACUGAGACACGGUCCAGACUCCUACGGGAGGCAGCAGUGGGGAAUAUUGGACAAUGGGCGCAAGCCUGAUCCAGCAAUGCCGCGUGUGUGAAGAAGGCCUUCGGUUGUAAGU
rnacentral:rRNA from 1 species